GGAAUAUUAAAGCUUAUUGAUGGCUUAUAAGAGCUUGCUAUGUGCCAUUCAACCAGUGCUUUGAGCCUUUGAGUUUGUCUGGAAGUGUGGAGGUCACAUAUAGGUGGUUGUACGCAUGCACAACUGGUUCUUUGAGCUUGUUACCAUUUGCCAAUUGCCUCAUGCAUCAGUUCUCAUGAUGAUUGCUUUAGGGAGUUCUGGAUUCCACAAAUACCUAUUUGAACUUUAUAAGCUUACAAGUUUUGCAGGUGAGUGGUGAAAAGAUUGCAAAAAGCUUACUGAUGCAAAAAGAAACCAAUUCAAACAAAUUGUUGUCUGUCGAAGGACAUUAAGUGGUAGCAAUAAGUUAUCAAUAAACAAAUAGAAUCUUUUUUUACAUCAGCUUAGUGCCACAUUCAUAUUCAGUU